GACGAACGCUGGCGGCGUGCUUAACACAUGCAAGUCGAACGGAAAGGCCCUGCUUUUGUGGGGUGCUCGAGUGGCGAACGGGUGAGUAACACGUGAGUAACCUGCCCUUGACUUUGGGAUAACUUCAGGAAACUGGGGCUAAUACCGGAUAGGAGCUCCCGCUGCAUGGUGGGGGUUGGAAAGUUUCGGCGGUUGGGGAUGGACUCGCGGCUUAUCAGCUUGUUGGUGGGGUAGUGGCUUACCAAGGCUUUGACGGGUAGCCGGCCUGAGAGGGUGACCGGCCACAUUGGGACUGAGAUACGGCCCAGACUCCUACGGGAGGCAGCAGUGGGGAAUAUUGCACAAUGGGCGGAAGCCUGAUGCAGCAACGCCGCGUGCGGGAUGACGGCCUUCGGGUUGUAAACCGCUUUCGCCUGUGACGAAGCGUGAGUGACGGUAAUGGGUAAAGAAGCACCGGCUAACUACGU
rnacentral:rRNA from 1 species